rnacentral:rRNA from 1 species
AACGAACGCUGGCGGCAUGCCUAACACAUGCAAGUCGAACGGACCCUUCGGGGAUAGUGGCGCACGGGUGCGUAACGCGUGGGAAUCUGCCCUGGGGUACGGAAUAACGCUUCGAAAGGAGUGCUAAUACCGUAUGAAGUCUUCGGACCAAAGAUUUAUCGCCCUGGGAUGAGCCCGCGUUGGAUUAGCUAGUUGGUGGGGUAAAUGCUCACCAAGGCGACGAUCCAUAGCUGGUCUGAGAGGAUGAUCAGCCACACUGGGACUGAGACACGGCCCAGACUCCUACGGGAGGCAGGUGUAGGGAAUAUUGGGCAAUGGGCGCAGGCCUGAUCCAGCCAUGCAGCGUGAAUGAUGAAGGCCUUAGGGUUGUAAAGCUCUUUUACCCGGGAAGAUAAUGACUGUACCGGGAGAAUAAGCCCCGGCUAACUCCGUGCCAGCCGCCGCGGUAAUAC